AUACCAUAUCGUUGUAGCUGCAGUGCAUGUAACCUGCAUAUCAUACACGUUUAACAGUGUAGAAACGAGAGAAAACAUGGGACUGGUGAAUUUGUUAUCAAUUCAAAAGCUGUACAUGGAAUGAUACAUGCAGGAAUUUGUGCCACACAUUUCAACAAUUUCCUUAAUGGAUUGAAUGUACUUUUUGUGAAUUCAUCAGACAUACUUAAAGAAAAAGGAGAAUGAAACUGGAAAGAAAAUAUUUGCAGUUGCAAAAGAAUCCUGUAAAUAAAUCCAAAACUCAGCAAAAGAAGAAACAGUUUUAAACAUGGUUAAUUUAAUGAAUAAUUGGAAGGUCUCAUUGUCAUCAUUUAACAGCAGGU